rnacentral:lncRNA from 1 species
UCCCAAGUGCUGGGAUUAAAGGCCUGUGCUGCCAGCGCCCGGCUACAGAGCCAUUUUUAUGUGUGUAGUGUUUGCAUCGUUCUGCACAGAGAAAGUUAUUUGUUAGUGAUCUUGUUACUAGGGUGAAUCUUGUUAUAUUGCUGAUACUGACUUAUUUGGCUAUGGGUGUGUAAAUUUCAUCUUGUGUAACUUCAUUUUUCUGGGGUUCCUUCAGAUUACCGUUGGAAGGAGAAGCAAUCUGACAAACUUAGUCUUUUACUUUCUAGUUGUUGCCAGUCCUAAGACUCACAACAAAGCUGAAUUGUCCACAACUUUCAGGACUCUGUUCCUUGUUAGGAAGCUGCAGUUACAGUGAUGUCAUUCUUGUCCCGUGUAGAACCUUCCCUCAGAUCCUGGCUCCCAUUAUCUUCAGCACUUCCAUCUCCAAUGUCAGCGUUUCUAUUCAGCUUGGAGACACACCACCUUUUGCUUUGGGGUUCAAUUCCAUCUCCCUGGAUUACCAGCACCUCCGACCACAAAGUAUCCAUCAGCGGGCUGUCCUGACUGUGGAUCACCUCUGCUGGCGGGUGGGCAGUGAGUCCCACAUUCAGCGGGCACCACACCCACCUAAUAUGCAUGUCUGGGGAGAAGCACUUGUCCUGGACUCUUUCACACUGCAGGGUAGCUAUAACCAGCCCCUGGGUUUGUCCAGCACCCAAUCCAAUACUCUCUUUCUUGACUGUACUAUUCGAGGACUUCAGGAAGUCUUUGCUUGGGGAGUCUGUGACCUUACUGUGGAAGGUGGACUUGAAGGUGGAAGACAUGAACCUGUUCACUCUUUCUGCACUGGUUGGUAAGUGGAGCAGGAAGUGGGUAGUAUGCCAAUUUAGCAGCUUAUGCUGGUUCACUCAGCUGCUUCUCCUUUAAGGAAGCUGAUUAUCUGGAAAGUUUCCAUGUUAAGAGUCAUGAGACAUUAGAGGGCUUGAACAAUAGGCUUUGUGCUGCUGCUUAGUAGCUAUUGAAGGCGAGUAUUAAAAAAUACACAGAUGGGGGAAAAUUUAGCCUUGACGUGAUCAAGAGAAUGAGACCAACAUAGGGUUUCUUUUGUCU